UUUAUUUAGCAAUGAGUCUGAAAGCUCCACAAAUAGCGCCAUCUAUUGGUGGACCACGAUACUUACAAGCGUGAGCUAGUAAAUCAGCUGAUCGUGUUAAGUCCACACCAAAAUAGACAACGAUUACCUUUUUGAGUAGGAUUAUUUGUCAAAAUUCCGAAAAAAGGUUUUUUGUUGUUGGUUUUGUUGGCAAGAAAAUGGUUGGCAGGUUAUGUGCCGAACCUGAAAAAAUGUGUUAAAGUGCAUGUGUUUUAAAAAAGUAUAUAUCUCAGUGAAGUGGUUGGCGAAGCCUGAUGCAGAUAUCUUACUUUGCACCUUUGCCGUCAACCCAACACCUAUUGCAUGUGUUGGGUUGACGGCAAAUGGUUGUCCACUGCAGGAGUUUGUCCUCCCAUACCAAGUGCCGUUUUCCAGAUUAGGAUUCGGCACUUAGUCAUAUUUUAUAUAAAACCUGGUAUUAAACUGACUAUUGACCCAGUCAUAUUUUAUAUAAACCC